CCAAAGGACUUUGGAAACAUGCUUCCAUUGUCGCCUGGGGAUGGGGCCGCGUCCGAUCAUGUUGUUGGUGAGGUAAUGGCUCACCAACCCUAUAACCGGUACGGGCCGUGAGAGCGGUAGCCUGGAGAUGGGCACUGAGACAAGGGCCCAGGCCCUACGGGGCGCAGCACUCGCGAAAACUCCGCAAUGCACGAAAGUGUGACGGGGCUACCCCGAGUGCCGUCCGCUGAGGAUGGCUUUUCCCCGGUGUAACUAGCCGGGGGAAUAAGGAGAGGGCAAGACUGGUGUCACCCGCCGCGGUAAUACCAGCUCUCCGAGUGGUAGGGAUGAUUAUUGGGCUUAAAGCGUCCGUAGCCGGCUUAGCAAGUCUCCUGUUAAAUUCAGCGACCUAAUCGUUGAGCCGCGGGAGAUACUACUAGGCUAGGAGGCGGGAGAGGUCGACGGUACUUUCGGGGUAGGGGUGAAAUCCUAUAAUCCCGGGAGGACCACCAGUGGCGAAGGCUGUCGACUAGAACGCGCUCGACGGUGAGGGACGAAAGCUGGGGGAGCGAACCGGAUUAGAUACCCGGGUAGUCCCAGCUGUAAACGAUGCGGGCUAGGUGUUGGGGUGGCUACGUGCCACUUCAGUGCCGCAGGGAAGCC
rnacentral:rRNA from 1 species